AUCCAUCUGACGAGUCCCAACUAGGACGAAACGCGCAUCCUGGGU
rfam:Schistosoma margrebowiei strain Zambia genome assembly, scaffold: SMRZ_contig0000401